UACGGGGGGGGCAAGCGUUGUUCGGAAUUACUGGGCGUAAAGGGCUCGUAGGUGGCCAACUAAGUCAGACGUGAAAUCCCUCGGCUUAACCGGGGAACUGCAUCUGAUACUGGAUGGCUUGAGUUCGGGAGAGGGAUGCGGAAUUCCAGGUGUAGCGGUGAAAUGCGUAGAUAUCUGGAGGAACACCGGUGGCGAAGGCGGCAUCCUGGACCGAGAUUGACGCUGAGGCGCGAAAGCCAGGGGAGCAAACGGG
rnacentral:rRNA from 1 species